rnacentral:rRNA from 1 species
UACGGGGGGAGCAAGCGUUGUUCGGAUUUACUGGGCGUAAAGGGCGCGUAGGCGGCCACCGCAAGUCGACUGUGAAAUCUCCGGGCUUAACCCGGAAAGGUCAGCCGAUACUGCGGGGCUAGAGUGCAGAAGGGGCAACUGGAAUUCUCGGUGUAGCGGUGAAAUGCGUAGAUAUCGAGAGGAACACCUGCGGCGAAGGCGGGUUGCUGGGCCGACACUGACGCUGAUGCGCGAAAGCGUGGGGAUCAAACAGG